AACGCUAGCUACAGGCUUAACACAUGCAAGUCGAGGGGAUACGAUAUUGGAAGCUUGCUUCCGAUAGGCGUCGACCGGCGCACGGGUGAGUAACGCGUAUCCAACCUGCCCGUCACUUGGGAAUAACCUUGCGAAAGUAAGACUAAUGCCCAAUGACAUUUAUAGAAGGCAUCUGAAAUGAAUUAAAGAUUUAUCGGUGAUGGAUGGGGAUGCGUCUGAUUAGCUUGUUGGCGGGGUAACGGCCCACCAAGGCGACGAUCAGUAGGGGUUCUGAGAGGAAGGUCCCCCACAUUGGAACUGAGACACGGUCCAAACUCCUACGGGAGGCAGCAGUGAGGAAUAUUGGUCAAUGGGCGAGAGCCUGAACCAGCCAAGUAGCGUGCAGGAAGACGGCCCUAUGGGUUGUAAACUGCUUUUAUAGGGGAAUAAAGUGAGCCACGUGUGGUUUUUUGCAUGUACCCUAUGAAUAAGGACCGGCUAAUUCCGUGCCAGCAGCCGCGGUAAUACGGAAGGUCCGGGCGUUAUCCGGAUUUAUUGGGUUUAAAGGGAGCGUAGGCCGGAGAUUAAGCGUGUUGUGAAAUGUAGACGCUCAACGUCUGCACUGCAGCGCGAACUGGUUUCCUUGAGUACGCAUAAAGUGGGCGGAAUUCGUGGUGUAGCGGUGAAAUGCUUAGAUAUCACGAAGAACUCCGAUUG
rnacentral:rRNA from 1 species